CGGAAACAAAGCCAACACGACACAUAAAA
rnacentral:sRNA from 1 species